GGGACAUCGUUGAAGUCAAGAUAAGGCCCUGAUCUCACCUCCUUCUCUUUCUUUCCUUUCUUCUCCAGGCCUUAGGCACCACUAUUGGUCACUAUUUUCAUCGAAAUUGAUCAAAAAAACUCAUCAGAUCCCCUAUUUUCUAGUUUUUUGUUUCUCUUUUUUCAACCAUCGGCACCUCCAUCUCUAGAUGCUAGACAUUUAGAUGGAUUAAACCUCUCUAUGACCCUCCGUGCUAAGCCAUGAUCACCGGUGAGUGGGG
rnacentral:lncRNA from 1 species